GACGUAGGUCGCGAACGUUAUCCGGAAUUAUUGGGCGUAAAGGGUGCGUAGAUGGUGUAGUAAGUUAUCGGUGGUAAAUCGAGGCUCAACCUCGUGGAAGUCGGUAAUACUGCUAUGCUAGAGGAUAGGAGAGGUUAACGGAACUCCCUGUGGAGCGGUGAAAUGCGUAGAUAUAGGGAAGAACACCAAUCAGGCGAAGGCAGUUAACUAUUCUAUUCCUGACAUUGAGGCAUGAAAGCGUGGGGAGCAAAACGG
rnacentral:rRNA from 1 species